rnacentral:rRNA from 1 species
AGUGAACGCUGGCGGUAGGCCUAACACAUGCAAGUCGAACGGCAGCACAGUAAGAGCCUGGUCUAACGGAUGGCGGGUGGCGGACGGGUGAGGAAUACAUCGGAAUCUACUUUUUCGUGGGGGCUAACGUAGGGAAGCCUAAGAUCAUACCGCAUACGACCUACGGGUGAAAGCAGGGGAGCUUCGGACGUUGCGCGUUUGAAUGAGCCGAUGUAGGAUUAGCUAGUUGGCGGGGUAAAGGCCCACCACGGCGGCGAUCCGUAGCUGGUCUGAGAGGAUGAUCAGCGACACUGGGACUGAGACACGGUCCAGACUCCUACGGGAGGCAGCAGUGGGGAAGAUUGGACAAUGGGCGGAAUCCUGAUCCAGCCAUACCGCGUGGGUGAAGAAGGCCUUCGUGGUGUAAAGCCCUUUUGUUGUUAAAGAAAAGCAGCAGGUGAAUACCCCGCUUUUCUGACGGUACCCAAAGAAUAAGCACCGGCUAACUUCGUG